AUAACGACUCUCGGCAACGGAUAUCUCGGCUCUCGCAUCGAUGAAGAACGUAGCGAAAUGCGAUACUUGGUGUGAAUUGCAGAAUCCCGUGAACCAUCGAGUCUUUGAACGCAAGUUGCGCCCGAAGCCUCACGGCUGAGGGCACGCCUGCCUGGGCGUCACGC
rnacentral:rRNA from 1 species